AAAAUAAAAUUAAAUAAGAAAUAUAUCAUUAACCUAUAAAUUAGAAGUUGAAGAACUUACAUUAAUUAUUUAAUAGACACAUGUCAAAUGCUAAAGUGAUGAUGUGUCAAUCAUAUGGAGAGAGUUGACCAACUUUUCAUAUAUAUGAUUGGUAAGAAAAGUUGUGUGUGGUUGUAGUUGUACUACAAGCUUAGUAGAAACAAAAGUAUUAUUGU
rnacentral:sRNA from 1 species